AGCCCAGAGAAAUUUGGAUUAAUACCUCAUAGUAUUAUUGAAUGGCAUCAUUUAAUAAUUAAAGUCACAACGGUAAAAGAUGAGCAUGCGUCCCAUUAGCUUGUUGGUAAGGUAACGGCUUACCAAGGCAACGAUGGGUAGGGGUCCUGAGAGGGAGAUCCCCCACACUGGUACUGAGACACGGACCAGACUCCUACGGGAGGCAGCAGUGAGGAAUAUUGGUCAAUGGGCGCAAGCCUGAACCAGCCAUGCCGCGUGCAGGAUGAAGCAUCUAUGGUGUGUAAACUGCUUUUGUACGAGAAGAAACACUCCUACGUGUAGGAGCUUGACGGUAUCGUAAGAAUAAGGACCGGCUAACUCCGUGCCAGCAGCCGCGGUAAUACGGAGGGUCCAAGCGUUAUCCGGAAUCAUUGGGUUUAAAGGGUCCGUAGGCGGUUUUGUAAGUCAGUGGUGAAAGCCCAUCGCUCAACGGUGGAACGGCCAUUGAUACUGCAAGACUUGAAUUAUUGGGAAGUAACUAGAAUAUGUAGUGUAGCGGUGAAAUGCUUAGAGAUUACAUGGAAUACCAAUUGCGAAGGCAGGUUACUACCAAUAUAUUGACGCUGAUGGACGAAAGCGUGGGGAGCGAACAGGAUUAGAUACCCUGGUAGUCCACGCCGUAAACGAUGGAUACUAGCUGUUCGGAGCAAUCUGAGUGGCUAAGCGAAAGUGAUAAGUAUCCCACCUGGGGAGUACGUUCGCAAGAAUGA
rnacentral:rRNA from 1 species